GGUUAAGCGACUAAGCGUACACGGUGGAUGCCCUGGCAGUCAGAGGCGAUGAAGGACGUGCUAAUCUGCGAUAAGCGUCGGUAAGGUGAUAUGAACCGUUAUAACCGGCGAUUUCCGAAUGGGGAAACCCAGUGUGUUUCGACACACUAUCAUUAACUGAAUCCAUAGGUUAAUGAGGCGAACCGGGGGAACUGAAACAUCUAAGUACCCCGAGGAAAAGAAAUCAACCGAGAUUCCCCCAGUAGCGGCGAGCGAACGGGGAGCAGCCCAGAGCCUGAAUCAGUGUGUGUGUUAGUGGAAGCGUCUGGAAAGGCGCGCGAUACAGGGUGACAGCCCCGUACACAAAAAUGCACAUGCUGUGAGCUCGAUGAGUAGGGCGGGACACGUGGUAUCCUGUCUGAAUAUGGGGGGACCAUCCUCCAAGGCUAAAUACUCCUGACUGACCGAUAGUGAACCAGUACCGUGAGGGAAAGGCGAAAAGAACCCCGGCGAGGGGAGUGAAAAAGAACCUGAAACCGUGUACGUACAAGCAGUGGGAGCCUCUUUAUGGGGUGACUGCGUACCUUUUGUAUAAUGGGUCAGCGACUUAUAUUCUGUAGCAAGGUUAACCGAAUAGGGGAGCCGAAGGGAAACCGAGUCUUAACUGGGCGUUAAGUUGCAGGGUAUAGACCCGAAACCCGGUGAUCUAGCCAUGGGCAGGUUGAAGGUUGGGUAACACUAACUGGAGGACCGAACCGACUAAUGUUGAAAAAUUAGCGGAUGACUUGUGGCUGGGGGUGAAAGGCCAAUCAAACCGGGAGAUAGCUGGUUCUCCCCGAAAGCUAUUUAGGUAGCGCCUCGUGAAUUCAUCUCCGGGGGUAGAGCACUGUUUCGGCAAGGGGGUCAUCCCGACUUACCAACCCGAUGCAAACUGCGAAUACCGGAGAAUGUUAUCACGGGAGACACACGGCGGGUGCUAACGUCCGUCGUGAAGAGGGAAACAACCCAGACCGCCAGCUAAGGUCCCAAAGUCAUGGUUAAGUGGGAAACGAUGUGGGAAGGCCCAGACAGCCAGGAUGUUGGCUUAGAAGCAGCCAUCAUUUAAAGAAAGCGUAAUAGCUCACUGGUCGAGUCGGCCUGCGCGGAAGAUGUAACGGGGCUAAACCAUGCACCGAAGCUGCGGCAGCGACGCUUAUGCGUUGUUGGGUAGGGGAGCGUUCUGUAAGCCUGUGAAGGUGUGCUGUGAGGCAUGCUGGAGGUAUCAGAAGUGCGAAUGCUGACAUAAGUAACGAUAAAGCGGGUGAAAAGCCCGCUCGCCGGAAGACCAAGGGUUCCUGUCCAACGUUAAUCGGGGCAGGGUGAGUCGACCCCUAAGGCGAGGCCGAAAGGCGUAGUCGAUGGGAAACAGGUUAAUAUUCCUGUACUUGGUGUUACUGCGAAGGGGGGACGGAGAAGGCUAUGUUGGCCGGGCGACGGUUGUCCCGGUUUAAGCGUGUAGGCUGGUUUUCCAGGCAAAUCCGGAAAAUCAAGGCUGAGGCGUGAUGACGAGGCACUACGGUGCUGAAGCAACAAAUGCCCUGCUUCCAGGAAAAGCCUCUAAGCAUCAGGUAACAUCAAAUCGUACCCCAAACCGACACAGGUGGUCAGGUAGAGAAUACCAAGGCGCUUGAGAGAACUCGGGUGAAGGAACUAGGCAAAAUGGUGCCGUAACUUCGGGAGAAGGCACGCUGAUAUGUAGGUGAAGCGACUUGCUCGUGGAGCUGAAAUCAGUCGAAGAUACCAGCUGGCUGCAACUGUUUAUUAAAAACACAGCACUGUGCAAACACGAAAGUGGACGUAUACGGUGUGACGCCUGCCCGGUGCCGGAAGGUUAAUUGAUGGGGUCAGCGCAAGCGAAGCUCUUGAUCGAAGCCCCGGUAAACGGCGGCCGUAACUAUAACGGUCCUAAGGUAGCGAAAUUCCUUGUCGGGUAAGUUCCGACCUGCACGAAUGGCGUAAUGAUGGCCAGGCUGUCUCCACCCGAGACUCAGUGAAAUUGAACUCGCUGUGAAGAUGCAGUGUACCCGCGGCAAGACGGAAAGACCCCGUGAACCUUUACUAUAGCUUGACACUGAACAUUGAGCCUUGAUGUGUAGGAUAGGUGGGAGGCUUUGAAGUGUGGACGCCAGUCUGCAUGGAGCCGACCUUGAAAUACCACCCUUUAAUGUUUGAUGUUCUAACGUUGACCCGUAAUCCGGGUUGCGGACAGUGUCUGGUGGGUAGUUUGACUGGGGCGGUCUCCUCCUAAAGAGUAACGGAGGAGCACGAAGGUUGGCUAAUCCUGGUCGGACAUCAGGAGGUUAGUGCAAUGGCAUAAGCCAGCUUGACUGCGAGCGUGACGGCGCGAGCAGGUGCGAAAGCAGGUCAUAGUGAUCCGGUGGUUCUGAAUGGAAGGGCCAUCGCUCAACGGAUAAAAGGUACUCCGGGGAUAACAGGCUGAUACCGCCCAAGAGUUCAUAUCGACGGCGGUGUUUGGCACCUCGAUGUCGGCUCAUCACAUCCUGGGGCUGAAGUAGGUCCCAAGGGUAUGGCUGUUCGCCAUUUAAAGUGGUACGCGAGCUGGGUUUAGAACGUCGUGAGACAGUUCGGUCCCUAUCUGCCGUGGGCGCUGGAGAACUGAGGGGGGCUGCUCCUAGUACGAGAGGACCGGAGUGGACGCAUCACUGGUGUUCGGGUUGUCAUGCCAAUGGCACUGCCCGGUAGCUAAAUGCGGAAGAGAUAAGUGCUGAAAGCAUCUAAGCACGAAACUUGCCCCGAGAUGAGUUCUCCCUGACUCCUUGAGAGUCCUGAAGGAACGUUGAAGACGACGACGUUGAUAGGCCGGGUGUGUAAGCGCAGCGAUGCGUUGAGCUAACCGGUACUAAUGAACCGUGAGGCUUAACCUU
rnacentral:rRNA from 1 species